AAGUCGUAACAAGGUCAACACUCUAGUUGCACGAUAGAUCCUUUCACAAGUUUCUCCGCAAAUACGGAGGCCUUUGUCGCCCGUAAAGGGUUGCACCCGCGACUAUAAAUAUUGAGGCUGCAUGUCUGCCUCUGCUUUAUAAAGGCAUGCAGUUAGGCAAGCUUGCUUCGGCAGGCGACUGAUCCAAAUUCAGGGGGAGACCUAUGCCAAGUCCUUUGAGCGAACUUUUGUUUGCGCUGCGCUGGUAACUAAGCGUCAGUUAACGGGGAUGAUGGUUGUAAGCUUCUAUGGAGCUUACUGUAUAACGGGGUCAAUCCUGAGCCAAGCCGAGUUAAUCGGAAGGUGCAACGACUAGACGGAUCGGGGCUAGAACCCUAUUCUAGCUGAAGGUAUAGUCUAAUCCCUUGGGUAACUGAGGGUGUUUUGAAAUGUUUCGUAGGUGAACCUGCGGAAGGAUCAUUAGUGAAUUCUGGGAGUCCCUCUUAACCGGAGAAGGCCCAAUACACUAUCUCACACACUUGUGCAAUCGUCCCAUUUAUACCUCUAACCCUUUGCAGUUGAAGCAGUUAUUGGCGAAACAAUGUAAUGAAGAAAA
rnacentral:misc_RNA from 1 species